UCUAGAUCAUAGCGAUCGGCUUGCACGAGAUGAUAACACAAUUUCCUUUCCUAACAUUUUCUAUUUGCAUGCGUCCUGCCGCACGAGCUCGCCGACCUACGCGUCGAUCCGGUUUUAAGUGGCAAGCGGGAUAAGGGAUAGAUCUAGUACACCGCAUACCAUCCGACCGAUUUCCCGAAGCGGUAGCACACCUCACUAGUCGAGGGGGUUUUCCCCUGCGGUAAGUAUUGAUACAUCAUAGCGAUCGGUUUGCACGAGACAAUGUAGGCAGUUUAUUAAUAUUUUUUAUUUUUUAUUUUUCUUACUAUUUGUAUGCCUCUUGCUGCACGAGCUCGUCGACCUACGCGUCGAUCCGGAUUUAAGUGGCAGCGGGAAAAGGAAUCUACAACGCCAACCAUCCGACAGUGUUCACGAUAAGAAAGGAAACGUCUCUUAUCGUGGGGUUUCCCCUGCGGUAAGUUAUUUCACAUCACCAGUACAAGACCGUAACAAAAUUUGUAAACUUAAAUGUUUCUUUUUUUUUUGCAUGAUCCCUACCGCAUGAGUUCGUGCUACAUGUUGGAAUUACACGCGAAAUGAUAGAGAAUCGUUUUUCAGUACACAUGCCACAACACACUAUCUGUAUUCGUUUUCCUUCAUCUAACUGUAAGAAACAGUCACUGCGCAACAUCCUACGAUAGCCAAGCAUAUAGACGAAACAUUAAUGUUGUAUCAUGCUAACCCGUGACAGGCAAGUGCUCAGUAACUCACGCACGUCCUUCAACGCACACAUCGUGAAACAUCUGGUGAAUGAGAUUGCUGAGCAAAACACUCACCAAACGGAAUAGAAUGGAUGAGUUUAUUUUAUGCAUCAUGUACCUCCCUUUUGCCUUAAAAUGUGACCAGUGCCUUUUUUUCUUUUGUUUUACGUUAGCAUAGGAUUAGUAUUAGUAUUAGUUUGGUUUAAUUAGAUAUAAGAUUUUAUUGUGCUUAAUAUACGCAUGGACUAUUGAAACAUAUAAUUAUGUGUUUGUUGAGCAACACCAUUUGGGUAAAAAAAAUUAUUUACGUAUACUCGUGAGGAAGCACGCACUUUGAGUAAUAAUUAACAUCAGAUUUGCUAAUCAUAAAACCAAACGUUGUGUUAGAGCGUAUGUGAGGCCGUUGUUUGUUACGCUCGUUAUGUUGCCUGCGGUUCUCGGAUCGAACAAAAUGCUGACAAGACAGAUGGUUAUAGACAAUCGAUCCUAGCACUUGCAGCAGGUGCGUAAUCGAUAGAACAGUAUUUCUUCUUGGUCGCGAUCGUCCGAUGUUCUCCGCUGGUUCAGCGGAUCAAUGGUCAAUUCAAGCGGUGAGGUGAGCCUUGCGUGUCACUAUGGUGCACGUAACUAUAUAUUAACAACAUCUUACAGUAUUAUUAAAGGCCAUGGUUACGUUAUAGUUCAAACCACGCAACAAGCAUAAGGAAACUGUAAUUGAUAUUUGAAUCAGUUAACAAAUUAUCUAAUGGAACAGAUAAUGAAGUUGAUUUGGAAAUGUGUACACAAUCAUGCACACAAUCGUGACAUUAUCGCAAGUGUAUAUUGCACUAUAACGUUAUUUACAUGUUAAAAUGAUUCAUUAUACAAACACAUAUAUAUAUUUAUUGCAUCAAAUAUACUACACAUUUUUUUAUCUGAAAUUGUAUAAAUAUAUCGCAUUACUCACCAA